CCGUGUUUGUUUACAAUAAUAACUCGAAAUAACAAUAAUUAUUGUACAGUACAAUUCAAUUCGUUUUUGAUGAACUUUUUAAUGCAACAAUCUAUCAUAAGUUCGUGAUUGUUACCGAAUUUACCUCUAACCAAACAUGGACCGCAAAAUCAUGGUAAAGCUACUGAUCGGAACCGUUGUUGGACUACAUGUGAGUUUCUACAUUAUCAAACCGUUAAUUUUGCCUCCUACAUCUGAUGAGAAAACAGAAAAUCAACCAACUAGGCCCAGCUAUUGAAAACCAAAUUCUAGGACUGCGCAUAGCUAUUAAUAAGAUUACUGUUCAUUUGAUAUGUAGAAUAAUGUAUACCAAGAACACUGUGAUACAUUGAACUAAUAGAGUGUAUUGUUGAUAAGUA